rnacentral:rRNA from 1 species
UACGUAGGGUGCGAGCGUUGUCCGGAAUUACUGGGCGUAAAGAGCUCGUAGGCGGCUUGUCACGUCGGUUGUGAAAGCCCGGGGCUUAACCCCGGGUCUGCAGUCGAUACGGGCAGGCUAGAGUUCGGUAGGGGAGAUCGGAAUUCCUGGUGUAGCGGUGAAAUGCGCAGAUAUCAGGAGGAACACCGGUGGCGAAGGCGGAUCUCUGGGCCGAUACUGACGCUGAGGAGCGAAAGCGUGGGGAGCGAACAGG